rnacentral:tRNA from 1 species
CGAAAUUGGUAGACGCUACGGACUUAGUAAAAGGAAAAUCCGUCGACUUUAUAAAUCGUGAGGGUUCAAGUCCCU